rnacentral:rRNA from 1 species
UACAGGGGGUGCAAACGUUGCUCGGAAUCAUUGGGCGUAAAGCGCACGUAGGCGGUUCGUUAUGUCGGAUGUGAAAGCCCUUGGCUUAACCGAGGAAGUGCAUCCGAAACUGGCGAGCUAGAGUACUAAAGAGGAUCGCGGAAUUCCCGGUGUAGAGGUGAAAUUCGUAGAUAUUGGAAAGAACACCGGUGGCGAAGGCGGCGACCUGGUUCAUUACUGACGCUGAGGCGCGAAAGCGUGGGGAGCAAACAGG